ACUUGAAAAAGGCAAACCAAGCGAGAGCUUGGGACGCAAAGUGACCGGUCUGACGGCUUCGGCCAAGACAGCGGGACUGCCAAG
rnacentral:ncRNA from 1 species